CCUGCCUGCCCCCCUGCCUUUGCUGCUCUGGCUCUCUGGAUAAACCAGGUUGGACUCUCUCCAAUCACCCACCUUCCAGGAUGCUCACUUGGCCAUUACCUCUCCCUCCUGACCCACACACACACACUCCACCUGCCAAUUCCAUCACAGUUCAUCAUCAGAUACUCCUCACUAAGCAUUCCUUCCUUGUGCCAUUGUUUAUUCUUGUGCUUAUCAAUAAAGCUUGUGAGAAUUCCUUA